UGGGUAACGCAUGUCUGAUCGAACGGGUGUUUUAUGAGAGUCGCUGAUAUUUCAACAACCAUUUUAACUGUGGCUCAUCAGUUGUGUCUUUCAUGCAUGUAUGUUUCAAAAGGUCUUAAGCAACAAGAGACAACACAACACAGCACAGCCUUUUUUUUUUUUUGUAAAGUUGCACUAUGUAACUUUUCUGGUAAGCAUGUCAAUACAUCAGCUGUGACCUGAAUGUCUUAUGUUAAAAUUGGCUUACUGCUGGAAAGUGAAGUAUUUAAAAGUGAACUUCAAUUAGGUUUGGCAUUUUAUAACGAGAAUAAUCAUUUUUGAAACAUUCCUUUUUUUCCCCCAUGUGUUCCUGGACUUUGGGUUGCUAUAGAAACCUGCAUGGCAAAUGUUUCACGUUGUGCUCAGGAUAAAGAUAAACCAGCCAUUUCAAACCUUUUAAGGCCAGUUCUAUUAUUUGAAAGACACAAAUAAAGUCUGCAGCAUGUAUAUCUCUAAUAAAUAUUAACUAACCAUCGCUUUCCACGCUUCCAACUUCAGUAAUCUGUAAAUUAUUAGGCACCAUUGUACCAUUCCUAAUUGUGUUUUAUGUUUAAAUUAUAUUUUAAUUUAAGCCUCUGAAUGUUCCUGUAUUUAAAGUGUGAGAGAGACCUAUUGUUGGUCAAAACCCAAUUUAAGUGAUCCACAUUUUACAUUUAUUCUAUUUUUCUCGCUGUAUCUAAGCUCUUAAAUCGACGUCGUCAUGCACCUGCACCAGUUCGUUUCUACAUUCCACCUAAGCACUUUUUUUGACCGGUUCUCGACUUAACUAUACCGGUUGAGAAUUGGAAACUAUUUCAUAAAUCAGCUGUGUUCAUUUCAAACGUUUUUAAAGUCAUGACCGCACAAGGUUGAGAGGUUUUUGACAGCUUUCUGAAGUGCUCAUAUUGACGCAAGCAAAUUCCAUAUUGCUGGAAAAAAAAAAAAAAGUGUUGUUCAUUAUGUUAAUUUUUUAUCACUGUUGUCCAUUCCUCAAAUUCUUUUGACACCUGUAUACAUUAUAUAAAGUAU
ensembl:lncRNA